GACGAACGCUGGCGGCGUGCCUAAUACAUGCAAGUCGAACGCAGUGGGGACGGGUGAGUAACACGUGGGUAACCUCCCAUCAGAGGGGAUAAAACUUGGAAAAAGGUGCUAAAGAGAUACUGAUGGAUGAACCCGGGGUGCAUUAGCUAGUUGGUGAGGUAACGGCUCACCAAGGCCACGAUGCAUAGCCGACCGUAGAGGGUGAGCGGCAACAUGGGGACUGAGACAUGGCCCAGACUCCUACGGGAGGCAGCAGUAGUGAAUCUUCGGCAAUGGACGAAAGUCUGACCGAGCAACGCCGCGUGAGUGAAGAAGGUUUUCGGAUCGUAAAACUCUGUUGUUAGAGAAGCGGUAUCUAACCAGAAAGCCACGGCUAACUACGUGCCAGCAGCCGCGGUAAUAC
rnacentral:rRNA from 1 species